rnacentral:rRNA from 1 species
GACGUAGGGCGCGAGCGUUGUCCGGAUUUAUUGGGCGUAAAGAGCUCGUAGGCGGCUUGUCGCGUCGACUGUGAAAACCCGUGGCUCAACCAUGUGGUCUGCAGUCGAUACGGGCAGGCUAGAAUUCGGUAGGGGAGACUGGAAUUCCUGGUGUAGCGGUGAAAUGCGCAGAUAUCAGGAAGAACACCAAUGGCGAAAGCAGCUUUCUGGGACGGUACUGACGCUGAGACGCGAAAGCGUGGGGAGCGAACAGG